rnacentral:lncRNA from 1 species
AAGCAUCUAAACACAAAAUAAAAUUAUGUAUAAAUUCGCCGACAAUCUAAAAUGAUAAAUGAUAUAUAAAUUUAAUAAAUAAUUAAAAUAAUAUCCGAUAAAUUAUUUAUAAUUAAAAAAUAAAUAUAAUGAUGAUAGAGUAUUAUUGUGGUACUCUAGCAAUACCGUGUAAUAAUUAAAGCAACUAACUUAGUUUUUAGAGUAGAACUAAAUUAACUGAAUCAAACUAAUAUGAUUUGGUCAACAUUAUUGAUUUUGAACCUGUGUUACUGGAUUUCUACUUUUUGAUGGAAAUCUAAAGCUCACCAUAUAUUUACUGUGUCUAAUUUUCUGCUCUUCAAAAGACAACAAAUUGAACUAGAUUAAUUAAAAUAGAAUAAAGCAAACAUUAUACAAAGAAAAAACAUGAACAAGAUAACAAUAAUGGGCCAGCACUUGGAAAAGUGUCACAGUCCCAUUUGCUACUCUUAUUCCUGCUUCUCGUCUCCCAUUGAAGCACAGAAAUCCAGGCCCAGACUGAUGAGGGAGUGGAGCGUUGCUGGUAGAAAUGGGCCGCUGAAACUUGACGAAAACCCAAUUUAGCUCCAACCGAAGACCUUGAAGAUGGCGUAAAUUAUCCCGUUAGUACUAAUUCUUUGCCUUUUUUAUUUAGUUGGUAGAAAUGUAUAGAUCUUUUUUUUUUUUUAGUACUAAAAUUUUUAUUUUUUUAUUAAUUCAGGGUACCCAAGUAUUUUUUCAUCUGGUUUUGCUGACAUGAUAAUUAGAGAUGAAAUAUUUCUAAUUGAUUUUUGUAAAUUAUAAAUGAUAACUCGCUCAUUGAAUGAGCUAUCAACAAGAUUUCCAAAGGCUUAUCCGACUCCGAAGUACCUGCAAAGAUGGUUAGAAAGCAUCAGACAGGGUUUUCCGGUCACUUAUUCUCGUGAUUAAAUCAGUAAUUUGUGAAAGGGUGGCUUAAGUAUAGUGAGUGUGUAAAAUACAUGUACCUAUAAUCAUUGUACCAUAGUUUCUUAUAUAUACAUCAAAAGUCUCCUCAUCCUACUAGGACAGGAACUCCAUAGCUGUAGGUCGUUCUAAUUAGGGUUGAGCAUGGAUCUCGGUGAUUCCCAUCCGAACCGAAUAACCGUACAGGAAAAUACUAGAACCGAAAUAACCGAAAGUUUUUAUAACUGAAUUGAACUGAUUCGAAUUUUUUUACUAUUACAGUAUGGUACUGGUUAUUUAGUAAAAACCGUACCAUAACCGUACCAUAACCGAUCCGUCUUAUACUGAUCCGAACCAAACUGUAGAACCG